UACGUAGGUGGCAAGCGUUGUCCGGAAUUAUUGGGCGUAAAGCGCGCGCAGGCGGCCUCUUAAGUCUGACGUGAAAGCCCCCGGCUCAACCGGGGAGGGCCAUUGGAAACUGGGAGGCUUGAGUAUAGGAGAGAAGAGUGGAAUUCCACGUGUAGCGGUGAAAUGCGUAGAGAUGUGGAGGAACACCAGUGGCGGAGGCGACUCUUUGGCCUAUAA
rnacentral:rRNA from 1 species